AAAAAAAAAAACUCCUAAAACCAAAACAAAACCAACCGACUAAAGUCGAUAAACCUAGCCAAACGCUAACACUAUUCCGUUCGCCGCUUGAACCCUUACCACCGUGAUGCGAUCCACCACCUCCUCCAAAACUUGGAUGCACUCCUCGUCCUCCCAUAGACCUCUCUCCACUGCCACCCCCCGUGUUCACCUCCACCGAAACUGUGUCCACCUCCACCUCCGCUGUGUCCACCUCCACCUCCGCCGUGUAUACCUCCGACGUGUCCACCUCCGCCAUGUCCACUUCCGCCGUGUCCACCUCCGCCACCCCUCUUAACAACGACAGUUAAUUCCACUGUUUUAUCAGAAAAACCGUCACCGUCAUGUUUUGACUCAACUGACUGGACCUGAAGAUUGACAUGGCUUGGAUCAACGGUGGCUAAACGUGUAGUAGAUCGUGAGGUGGCUUGAAAAACUUGUGCUGGAGAAGGAGAAAAAAUAUGAAGUAUAGAAUCAAAGAACCUUUCGUAGAAACCAUAAUUGUCUUCGCUUUUCUUCAGAUGCAGUUGGCAACAUGAAACUGGUCAAUGGACAGUCUCACAUUGAGUGUUGUAUCCUUGACGAAGUGGAAAUAGCAACCACUCCAUGUGUUAUGAUUCAUCUGCAAUCACAAGAGGACCUGUUAUGAAGCUUUACUUUUGGGAAAAGACUGCAACAGACUUCUGCAAGAAAUUUACAGCCUAUAAAAACACUCCCACCUUGCUUUUAGUCACGACGGUGAACACGAAACAUCUUGGAGACGUCUCUGCUCCUGUUUGUGACGUUAACCUUGGAGAAUUUUGUUCUUUAUCUAUUUGAACUUCAUAUAGCUCGAACUGGGAUCUUUAGGUUGUCCUUUUGAUCUCUUCCUUGCAAAUCAUUUAACUUCGCAAAACAGAGUGCUCUUCAAGCAGCCUGUCACAGCUGUCGAGAUCUUGCAGAUGAGGGGAAUAACAGUACCUGUCACAGUGACGAACCAAAGAAAGCAAAGGUCCUAAACAUGGAAAUGAGAGCUCUCACCACUCAUCUCAGAGUGGUGACCCCUUCGUUUGCAGUUUCAGUCUUCUUUUUUCAGUUUGAGCAUUGGCUAAAGCUUUCGUUUUAGUUAACAUCUUUCAGUGUUUGAUUUUUCUUUUUUUCAGUGAGAUAAGCCUGAAACGCAGACAAGCUCUGAGUGCAGGAAGCACAAGGAGUAUUACUCUCAAGGGAGAGGUUACAUCUCAUCACAGCCGUACUCAACGUGGAGUUAGGGAUCAUGGCUUCGAACUGAGACCUCGUGGGGAUGUUCAUACAUCCCUGUGAGAUCCACAGCGUCUGGAAACCACAUCUUGAUCUGACAUCAAAGCGAGGGAGGAACCCGGAGAUGGAGGACUGUAAAGCGUCCCAGCAAGAAGCGGCGGAGGAGAGCGGCGGGGAGAAUGAACCUGUCUUGCGGAGGUGGUGAGAGUAGACGAGACGGAGGCCUUGGAGGAGGUACUGGAAAAUAAAAAAUAUUUGGUAAUUUCUUCAGUAUGAGCAUUGGCUAAAGGCUUUCGUUUUAGUUAACAUCUUUCAGUGUUUGAUUUUCCUUUUUUCCCCUGCAAUCAGUUUACAUAUUGAGUAAUUUUUUAUUAGGUGAUGAUUAUAAGCUUUUAAAACAAUCACUUGGUAUUUUCAAUUAUAAUUGUGGUUUCUCUGCUGAGUGUUUGCUAUUUAUGCAUCACUCUUUCUCUGUUAAUUUGAAAAC